AUACGGAGGAUCCGAGCGAUAUCCGGAUUUAUUGGGUUUAAAGGGAGCGUAGGUGGAUUGUUAAGUCAGUUGUGAAAGUUUGCGGCUCAACCGUAAAAUUGCAGUUGAAACUGGCAGUCUUGAGUACAGUAGAGGUGGGCGGAAUUCGUGGUGUAGCGGUGAAAUGCUUAGAUAUCACGAAGAACUCCGAUUGCGAAGGCAGCUCACUAGACUGUUACUGACACUGAUGCUCGAAAGUUUGGGUAUCAAACAGGAUUAGAUACCCUGGUAGUCCACACAGUAAACGAUGAAUACUCGCUUUUUGCGAUAUACAGUAAGCGGCCAAGCGAAAGCAUUAAGUAUUCCACCUGGGGAGUACGCCGGCAACGGUGAAACUCACAUGAAUUGACGGGG
rnacentral:rRNA from 1 species